AUGAAAGCCAAGAAGGAUGGUGGCCCGAUGCACCUGCGUGGAGACUACAUCUCCUCCAGGGUUUGGGUGGGCUACUUGACAACCCAGUUUGAUCUUUGAGGGGCUGAGGACCCUUCGUGGUCACCACCAAGAGCUCCUCCUCGAGCCUUUGAUGGAGGAGGUUGGGCUCAGAGCUGCCCGUUUCUAUCAGCUCAUGUCUCCAAUCAACCACCUCCUGGGGCUCCAUCCUGUCCUGUGCUCCUUCUCCAGCCCAAAGUGGGACAACCCCAUGGGCAACACUUGUCUCCCUUCUCCUUCUCCCUCCUCCUCAUUCUCCUUCUUAUCCUCUUUCUCCUCCUCCCUUUCUCCUUCGCCUUCUCCCUCUUUUUCUUCUCCUCCUCUCCCUCCUUCUCCUCCUUCUCCUUCUCCUUCUCCCCCUCCUUCUCCUUCUCCCCCUCCUUCUCCUUCUCAUUCUUGUCCUCUUUCUCCUUCACCUUCUCUCUUUUCUUCUCCUCCUCUCCCUCCUCCUUCUCCUUCUCCUUCUCCUUCUCCUUCUCCCCCUCCUCCUCCUUCUCCUUCUCCUUCUCCUUCUCCUUCUCCUUCUCCUUCUCCUUCUCCUUCUCCUUCUCCUUCUCCUUCUCCUUCCCCUCCUCCUCUUUCUCAUUCUUCUCCUUUCUCCUCCUUUCUCCUUCACCUUCUCCUUCUCCCUCCUCCUCUCCUCCACCUUCUCCCUCUUCUUCUCCUCCUCCCCCUCCUUCUCCUCAUGCUUCAAGCUUCAUCCUUCUCCUCUCUCUCCUCCUCCUCCUCCUUCUUCAUCCUCCUCCUCCUUCUCUUAUUAAACUAUUUUUAUCUCCGCUCACAAGUUUUCUCACUUUUCCCCUUCCCUGGUUCACCCCCAGGUGCUGCCCCAUCCGGGGGGAUGCGGUGAGUUUUGGGGUGGGGAAGGGGACCAAGGGUGGGCACCGGUCCCAGGUGGAGGAGGAAGAGGGAUGGAGGAGGAGGAAGAGAAGGAGGGAUGGAAGAGGAGGAGAGAUGGAAGAGGGAUGGAGGAGAAGGAGGAGGGAUGGAGAAGGAGAGAUGAAGGAGGAGCAAGAGCAGAAGGAGUUGGAGGAUGGAGCAGGCAGAGGAGCC
rnacentral:lncRNA from 1 species